rnacentral:rRNA from 1 species
GGUCAAGUGAAGAAGCGCAUACGGUGGAUGCCUUGGCAGUCAGAGGCGAUGAAAGACGUGGUAGCCUGCGAAAAGCUUCGGGGAGUCGGCAAACAGACUGUGAUCCGGAGAUGUCUGAAUGGGGGAACCCAGCCAUCACAAGAUGGUUAUCUUACACUGAAUACAUAGGUGUAAGAGGCGAACCAGGGGAACUGAAACAUCUAAGUACCCUGAGGAAAAGAAAUCAACCGAGAUUCCCUUAGUAGUGGCGAGCGAACGGGGACCAGCCCUUAAGUUGUAUUGAGAUUAGCGGAACGCUCUGGAAAGUGCGGCCAUAGUGGGUGAUAGCCCUGUACGCGAAAAUCCCUUUGCAAUGAAAUCGAGUAGGACGGGGCACGAGAAACCUUGUCUGAAUAUGGGGGGACCAUCCUCCAAGGCUAAAUACUACUGACUGACCGAUAGUGAACCAGUACCGUGAGGGAAAGGCGAAAAGAACCGCGGAGAGCGGAGUGAAAUAGAUCCUGAAACCGUAUGCGUACAAGCAGUGGGAGCCCACUUUGUUGGGUGACUGCGUACCUUUUGUAUAAUGGGUCAGCGACUUAUUUUCAGUGGCGAGCUUAACCGAAUAGGGGAGGCGUAGCGAAAGCGAGUCUUAAUAGGGCGUCUAGUCGCUGGGAAUAGACCCGAAACCGGGCGAUCUAUCCAUGGGCAGGUUGAAGGUUGGGUAACACUAACUGGAGGACCGAACCGACUACCGUUGAAAAGUUAGCGGAUGACCUGUGGAUCGGAGUGAAAGGCUAAUCAAGCUCGGAGAUAGCUGGUUCUCCUCGAAAGCUAUUUAGGUAGCGCCUCAUGUAUCACUGUAGGGGGUAGAGCACUGUUUCGGCUAGGGGGUCAUCCCGACUUACCAAACCGAUGCAAACUCCGAAUACCUACAAGUGCCGAGCAUGGGAGACACACGGCGGGUGCUAACGUCCGUCGUGAAAAGGGAAACAACCCAGACCGUCAGCUAAGGUCCCAAAGUCAUGGUUAAGUGGGAAACGAUGUGGGAAGGCUUAGACAGCUAGGAGGUUGGCUUAGAAGCAGCCACCCUUUAAAGAAAGCGUAAUAGCUCACUAGUCGAGUCGGCCUGCGCGGAAGAUGUAACGGGGCUCAAACCAUGCACCGAAGCUACGGGUAUCACCUUUGGUGAUGCGGUAGAGGAGCGUUCUGUAAGCCUGUGAAGGUGAGUUGAGAAGCUUGCUGGAGGUAUCAGAAGUGCGAAUGCUGACAUGAGUAACGACAAUGGGUGUGAAAAACACCCACGCCGAAAGACCAAGGUUUCCUGCGCAACGUUAAUCGACGCAGGGUUAGUCGGUCCCUAAGGCGAGGCUGAAAAGCGUAGUCGAUGGAAAACAGGUUAAUAUUCCUGUACUUCUGGUUAUUGCGAUGGAGGGACGGAGAAGGCUAGGCCAGCCUGGCGUUGGUAGUCCAGGUUUAAGGUGGUAGGCUGAGAUCUUAGGUAAAUCCGGGAUCUUAAGGCCGAGAGCUGAUGACGAGUGUUCUUUUAGAACAUGAAGUGGUUGAUGCCAUGCUUCCAAGAAAAGCUUCUAAGCUUCAGGUAACCAGGAACCGUACCCCAAACCGACACAGGUGGUUGGGUAGAGAAUACCAAGGCGCUUGAGAGAACUCGGGUGAAGGAACUAGGCAAAAUGGCACCGUAACUUCGGGAGAAGGUGCGCCGGUGAGGGUGAAGCAUUUACUGCGUAAGCCCACGCCGGUCGAAGAUACCAGGCCGCUGCGACUGUUUAUUAAAAACACAGCACUCUGCAAACACGAAAGUGGACGUAUAGGGUGUGACGCCUGCCCGGUGCCGGAAGGUUAAUUGAUGGGGUUAGCGCAAGCGAAGCUCUUGAUCGAAGCCCCGGUAAACGGCGGCCGUAACUAUAACGGUCCUAAGGUAGCGCAAUUCCUUGUCGGGUAAGUUCCGACCUGCACGAAUGGCGUAACGAUGGCGGCGCUGUCUCCACCCGAGACUCAGUGAAAUUGAAAUCGCUGUGAAGAUGCAGUGUAUCCGCGGCUAGACGGAAAGACCCCGUGAACCUUUACUAUAGCUUUGCACUGGACUUUGAAUUUGCUUGUGUAGGAUAGGUGGGAGGCUUUGAAGCGUGGACGCCAGUCUGCGUGGAGCCAACCUUGAAAUACCACCCUGGCAACUUUGAGGUUCUAACUCAGGUCCGUUAUCCGGAUCGAGGACAGUGUAUGGUGGGUAGUUUGACUGGGGCGGUCUCCUCCUAAAGAGUAACGGAGGAGUACGAAGGUGCGCUCAGACCGGUCGGAAAUCGGUCGUAGAGUAUAAAGGCAAAAGCGCGCUUGACUGCGAGACAGACACGUCGAGCAGGUACGAAAGUAGGUCUUAGUGAUCCGGUGGUUCUGUAUGGAAGGGCCAUCGCUCAACGGAUAAAAGGUACUCCGGGGAUAACAGGCUGAUACCGCCCAAGAGUUCAUAUCGACGGCGGUGUUUGGCACCUCGAUGUCGGCUCAUCACAUCCUGGGGCUGAAGCCGGUCCCAAGGGUAUGGCUGUUCGCCAUUUAAAGUGGUACGCGAGCUGGGUUUAGAACGUCGUGAGACAGUUCGGUCCCUAUCUGCCGUGGACGUUUGAGAUUUGAGAGGGGCUGCUCCUAGUACGAGAGGACCGGAGUGGACGAACCUCUGGUGUUCCGGUUGUCACGCCAGUGGCAUUGCCGGGUAGCUAUGUUCGGAAAAGAUAACCGCUGAAAGCAUCUAAGCGGGAAACUUGCCUCAAGAUGAGAUCUCACUGGAACCUAGAGUUCCCUGAAGGGCCGUCGAAGACUACGACGUUGAUAGGUUGGGUGUGUAAGCGCUGUGAGGCGUUGAGCUAACCAAUACUAAUUGCCCGUGAGGCUUGACCAU